UGUAAGUGAAGACCAGGGGCCACAGAGGCAAUGAAAACUUAUUCUAAGUGUGACACUUUCAACUCCCCUUACUCUACAACAAGCUCCAUCUUUGACCAGCACUAAGAGGAGGAAAAUGAUACCUCAAUAAGACAAGAAGACAAAAGAACAGAUUCCCUGCCUUACUCUGGUGAUCUCGAGGUCUAAGCAUGCAUCCUCCUCUUGGCAUUAUGUGUGACAUAUACUUCUCUGGGAGAGGAAGCUGAAGGUUUGAUCCCCUGACUCGCAGGAUGAGUGUGCCAGCAUUGCUCUAUCAUCUCCAUGCCUCUCCACUCAUUACAGGCAUGCUUCUUCUGAAGACCUUCACAGGCAGACCUGUGGCACAGAUGGCGUGUUCCUGGUUGGCUGCUUAUAACUACCUCUCCAAACUUGACUUCUGCUGGGUCCCCUCUCCUUAAUUUGCUAAUCAUUAGCAUUUU
rnacentral:lncRNA from 1 species